CAGCAGCCGCGGGAAUACGAAGGGUGCAAGCGUUAAUCGGAAUUACUGGGCGUAAAGCGCGCGUAGGUGGUUUGGUAAGAUGGAUGUGAAAUCCCCGGGCUCAACCUGGGAACUGCAUCCAUAACUGCCUGACUAGAGUACGGUAGAGGGUGGUGGAAUUUCCUGUGUAGCGGUGAAAUGCGUAGAUAUAGGAAGGAACACCAGUGGCGAAGGCGACCACCUGGACUGAUACUGACACUGAGGUGCGAAAGCGUGGGGAGCAAACAGGAUUAGAGACCCCGGUAGUCCCUGUCUCUUAUAC
rnacentral:rRNA from 1 species